rnacentral:siRNA from 1 species
UGAUGAGGAACAACAAAUGCA